UGGUGUGUUGCUGACUGGAUCAGAGUCCUGUUUCAGCAUUUGUGGGCCGUCCAAAGCUGAUGCAACAAGUUUUUAAGACCUCUUUCGACUCUCUCCCGCAGCAUUCUACAUGAGGGAGGACCUCCUGUGCUGUCGGAUUCGUAUUCAGCUCCAAAAGUGGACGCUAGUUUACCUAGCCCGCUUACAUUAACACUGACUCACACUAGGUGUUGUUUUUUUGUGGAUGUUGUUUCAACCCCUGCUGAAUCUCAAGCAUCUUCCAUGCAGAGUUACAUUCUUCCCACAUUAUAUAAGAGUGCAGAUAGGAAACAGAUGGCGAAUCUGCAGGCGUACUCUGAACACAACACGGCCCGUGGACCGGCAGUCUGUGGAGGACCGCUACACCGAGACACUUGAAGCGCAGCUUAUUGCUGAGAUACGUACAGCAGAAAUACUGUCGUCAUCAUUGGAGAAGAAAGCAGGUGUUCUGAGACCAUCACAGCUCAUGGCAUCUUUCAUUCAUCCAACCUGACCAGCUGGACCGCUCCGGAGAGGACGAGAGAUGGAAGAAGAGCCAUGACGGGUAAACUAACAGGAACUAGCCGUCUUGCUAGCAGCUGUGAGCCUGCUGUGUCCGGGGUCGUCUGAUUUGCUAAGGAGCG